UGCGGAAGGAUCAUUACCGAGUGAGGGCCCUCUGGGUCCAACCUCCCACCCGUGUUUAUCGUACCUUGUUGCUUCGGCGGGCCCGCCUCACGGCCGCCGGGGGGCAUCCGCCCCCGGGCCCGCGCCCGCCGAAGACACACAAACGAACUCUUGUCUGAAGAUUGCAGUCUGAGUACUUGACUAAAUCAGUUAAAACUUUCAACAACGGAUCUCUUGGUUCCGGCAUCGAUGAAGAACGCAGCGAAAUGCGAUAAGUAAUGUGAAUUGCAGAAUUCAGUGAAUCAUCGAGUCUUUGAACGCACAUUGCGCCCCCUGGUAUUCCGGGGGGCAUGCCUGUCCGAGCGUCAUUGCUGCCCUCAAGCACGGCUUGUGUGUUGGGCUCUCGCCCCCCGCUUCCGGGGGGCGGGCCCGAAAGGCAGCGGCGGCACCGCGUCCGGUCCUCGAGCGUAUGGGGCUUCGUCACCCGCUCUGUAGGCCCGGCCGGCGCCCGCCGGCGAACACCAUCAAUCUUAACCAGGUUGACCUCGGAUCAGGUAGGGAUACCCGCUGAACUUAAGCAUAUC
rnacentral:rRNA from 3 species